rnacentral:rRNA from 1 species
UACGGAGGAUCCAAGCGUUAUCCGGAUUAUUGGGUUAAGGUGCGUAGGCGGCCUAUUAAGUCAGGGUGAAAGACGGUAGCUCAACUAUCGCAGUGCCUUUGAUACUGAUGGGCUUGAAUAUACUAGAGGUAGGCGGAAUGUGACAAGUAGCGGUGAAAUGCAUAGAUAUGUCACAGAACACCGAUUGCGAAGGCAGCUUACUAUGGUAUUGAUUGACGCUGGAGGCACGAAAGCGUGGGAUCAAACAGG